ACAUAGUUAGCAAUUACUGUGACAUAACAAAAAGGGUUAGGGUUACAAACCUGUGAGCAUUCAAACUGAUCUCUCCCUUUUUCAAUCGGCGACGGCGGUGCUUUCACGACGGCGAUCAGAGUUCCCUUCUUCGACUGAACCAGCGGCGGACUCCCUUCCGACCCCUUCUGAUAAGCUCGAGUACACCACUCUCUAAGCCGAACACAUGCUUUUCUCCAUCUCCGAUCGUCUUUCACACAUAUCGUUAUCUCUUCGAUUCGUAUCGAUCGGACAAAAAACACCCGGUGCUUCUUUGAACGAUGGAAUGCGAUGAAGACGUAGGAUAAACGCGGAGAAACAAACGAAGGAUACUCUGGUUUCAGGUUUCUUGAUGGUGAAGAGUGAUACCAAUGUGGAGCUGCUUGUUUGUGUGGCCGAAUUUCACGUAUGGAUUUUGUUUUUUCUGUUAUAUUAUGUAUGGCUGGUUGCUGUCUUCCUUUUCUUCUGUGUGUGAAUAUAGAUUGAAUGGCAUGCUGUUUUGGAUAAAGGAUUGAUUUGAAUGGAGUGCUGAAUUGUGAUUUUAUGCGUAUGCAGCUGUUACGGAUUAGUAGGUUUAUUUUUCUCUGUGUUCUGAAGGUAAUGCAGCCCUGCUGUUAGUUAGAGUUUGGCUGUUUAUAAGUUACUAACUGCAGGUUUUGUGCAGGUUUGAAUGCGGUUGUUAGUGGUUAGGACUGGUAUUGAACAUGGUUGCUAAUGGUUAGGACUAGUGUGAAAUUCGGUCUGAUGGUUUCAUGAAAGCAAGAGAUGGUGAGCUGUUUUUUUCCUUUUGUACUUUGUUUUGCUGAUUUAUGUUGAUUGUUUUGUGGAAUGGUCCCUGAACUGGUUCAGUAUGGUAUAUUAGUUUAGUGUAGCAUGACGGUUCGAAUUCUAAGGGGUUUUGUGGUUUAUUAUUUUUGGGAAUUAAAAAGGUAUGUGGUUAGUAUGUGUAUGGCAGCAGGUUUGACUGGUAAUUGUGUAGGGGCUGUUUUCUUUUGUAUUGAACUAAUGUAUGUUAAUACUUAAUGGAUGUGCUUGGUACUGGCAGUUGGUUUUGAAUAGUGGCAGGUGUACAUGACUUGAAGAUGGCUUGAAUAUUGUGAUGAGUGUUUGAGUGUUGAACAUCAGCUGACUGCAGACAGGACUUGAAUAUGCUGUUAGAUUUGAGUCUGAAUUUGGUUUUAUGUAUGGCUGAACCAUGAUGAAUGAUGAUACUGAACUGAGACAUUCUGAUAUUGCGGGUUUGGAGCAGCAUGAGGAAGUGAAUAUUGUGGCUGAGUGACUGCUAUGGUUGAAUGGGAUGGGACUGAUUUAAUGUUGGCUUGAUAGUGCCGAGUCAGAUUCAAGUGUACCUCAAGAGUGUUUCGCUUUUUUUUUGUGAUCGUUUUGAAUUAUGUAUUUAUGGUGCCAGUUUAGGUCUUUUCUCUCAGAUGGAUGCAAGAUACGAUGACUUGAUUUGAACUGAUAUUGGCUCCGAUGUGUAUGGGACUGUUAGUAAAUGGAUGUGGAAUGUAUUUUUAUGAACCAAGACUUAUUUCAAAUGUAUUUUGGAGUGUAUGUGAAUGUAUGUAUUAAUGCAAGACUGUAUGAUUGUAUUGGCUUGUUUGACAAACUCCCUGUAAUAGCUGCUGACCCAUGUAAUGAUAGGGAUGUUGAAUGGAACUUGUAUCCUUUUAGACA